UGGGGAAUAUUGGGCAAUGGGGGAAACCCUGACCCAGCAACGCCGCGUGAAGGAAGAAGGCCUUCGGGUUGUAAACUUCUUUUACCAGGGACGAAGAACGUGACGGUACCUGGAGAAAAAGCAACGGCUAACUACGUG
rnacentral:rRNA from 2 species